rnacentral:rRNA from 1 species
UACAACAUAGCAUUAAUGUACAGGAUCCCAUUAGAACUCCACAAUUAAGCGCACUCAAGCUAGAGUAGUACUAGGAUGAGUGACCUCCCGGGAAGUCCUAGUGUUUUAC